AUGGCAGAUGAUACCUUGGGUUGGGAGGGGUCCUGGAAGUGGACUCUUCCACAGUGGCAUCAGGGGUAGGGGUCACAGUGGUGGUUAGGACCAGAGCUGAGGUCACAGAGCUCCUGGAGGCAAGAUUAAGGACAAAGAGUGGCUCCCCAUCACCAAGUUGGGCCAUCUGGUCAAGGACAUGAAGAUCAAGUCCCUGGAGGAGAUCUGCCUCUUCUCUGUGCAUCAAGGACCAGGUUCAAGGCAUUUGUCACCAUUGAGGACUACAACGGCUAUGUUGGUCUGGGUGUUAGUGCUCCAAGGAGGUAGCCAGCACCAUCCAUGGGGCUAUAAUCAUGGUCAAGCUCUUUAUCCUCCCUGUGUGAGGAGACUACUGGGGGAACAAGAUUAGCAAGCCUCACACUCACACUACCUACCCUUGCAAGGUGACUGGCAGCCUGCAUCUCUGUGCUGGUGGCCUCAUCCCUGCCUCCAGGGGCGUUGGUACUGUCUUGGCCCCUGUGCCCAGGAACCUGCUGCUGAUGGUGGUUACCCACCACUGCUGCACUUUGACUGGGGACUGCGCUGCUACCCUGGCCAAUUUUGCCAAGGGCACCUUUGAUGCCAUCUCCAAGACCUACAGCUAUUUCACCCCCAACCUCUGGUAAGAGACAUGUUCACCAAGUCUCCCUAUCAGGAAUUUAGUGACCAUGGCCUAAAGACCCAUACCAGACUCUCCAUGUAGAGGACCCAAGCUCUAGCUAUGGCCACC
rnacentral:lncRNA from 1 species